rnacentral:rRNA from 1 species
UCUAGCCAUGGGCAGGUUGAAGGUUGGGUAACACUAACUGGAGGACCGAACCGACUAAUGUUGAAAAAUUAGCGGAUGACCUGUGGCUGGGGGUGAAAGGCCAAUCAAACCGGGAGAUAGCUGGUUCUCCCCGAAAGCUAUUUAGGUAGCGCCUCGUGAAUUCAUCUCCGGGGGUAGAGCACUGUUUCGGCUAGGGGGCCAUCCCGGCUUACCAACCCGAUGCAAACUGCGAAUACCGGAGAAUGUUAUCACGGGAGACACACGGCGGGUGCUAACGUCCGUCGUGAAGAGGGAAACAACCCAGACCGCCAGCUAAGGUCCCAAAGUCAUGGUUAAGUGGGAAACGAUGUGGGAAGGCCCAGACAGCCAGGAUGUUGGCUUAGAAGCAGCCAUCAUUUAAAGAAAGCGUAAUAGCUCACUGGUCGAGUCGGCCUGCGCGGAAGAUGUAACGGGGCUAAACCAUGCACCGAAGCUGCGGCAGCGACACUGUGUGUUGUUGGGUA